GUACGGAGGAUGCAAGCGUUAUCCGGAUUUAUUGGGUUUAAAGGGUGCGUAGGCGGUUAGCUAAGCGGGAGGUGAAAUGCCGGCGCUCAACGUCGGAAGUGCCUCCCGAACUGGUGGACUUGAAUGACUCUGCCGUGGGAGGAAUGUGUAGUGUAGCGGUGAAAUGCUUAGAGAUUACACAGAACACCGAUUGCGAAGGCAUCUCACGAAGGGUUGAUUGACGCUGAGGCACGAAAGCGUGGGGAUCAAACAGGAUUAGAUACCCUGGUAGUCCACGCAGUAAACGAUGAUGGCUAACCGCUGGGCUUAUCAGUUCAGUGGCCAAGCGAAAGCGAUAAGCCAUCCACCUGGGGAGUACGACCGCAAGGUUGAAACUCAAAUGAAUUGGCGGGG
rnacentral:rRNA from 1 species